UAGAGUUUGAUCCUGGCUCAGGAUGAACGCUAGCGACAGGCUUAACACAUGCAAGUCGAGGGGCAUCGGGGGUGAGCAAUCAUCUGCCGGCGACCGGCGCACGGGUGAGUAACACGUAUGCAACCUGCCCGUCACAGGGGGAUAAUCGAGAGAAAUCUCGUCUAAUACCGCAUACACUCAUCGGGAGGCAUCUCCCGGAGAGGAAAGAUUAAUUGGUGACGGAUGGGCAUGCGGGACAUUAGCUAGUUGGCGGGGUAACGGCCCACCAAGGCGACGAUGUCUAGGGGUUCUGAGAGGAAGGUCCCCCACACUGGUACUGAGACACGGACCAGACUCCUACGGGAGGCAGCAGUGAGGAAUAUUGGUCAAUGGGCGAGAGCCUGAACCAGCCAAGUCGCGUGAGGGAAGACGGUCCUACGGAUUGUAAACCUCUUUUGUCGGGGAACAAAAGUCGCCACGAGUGGUGUAUAGAGUGUACCCGAAGAAAAAGCAUCGGCUAACUCCGUGCCAGCAGCCGCGGUAAUACGGAGGAUGCGAGCGUUAUCCGGAUUUAUUGGGUUUAAAGGGUGCGCAGGCGGCUAUUCAAGUCAGCGGUCAAACUUCGGGGCUCAACCUCGUUUUGCCGUUGAAACUGAGGAGCUGGAGUCUGUUCGAGGGACGCGGAAUGCGAGGUGUAGCGGUGAAAUGCAUAGAUAUCACGCAGAACUCCGAUUGCGAAGGCAGCCUGCUGUAGCGCAACUGACGCUGAAGCUCGAAAGCGUGGGUAUCGAACAGGAUUAGAUACCCUGGUAGUCCACGCGGUAAACGAUGGAUGCUCGCUGUUUGCGUCUGACGUAAGCGGCCAAGCGAAAGCGUUAAGCAUCCCACCUGGGGAGUACGCCGGCAACGGUGAAACUCAAAGGAAUUGACGGGGGCCCGCACAAGCGGAGGAACAUGUGGUUUAAUUCGAUGAUACGCGAGGAACCUUACCCGGGCUUGAACUGCAGGCGAACGAUACAGAGAUGUUGAGGCCCUUCGGGGCGCCUGUGGAGGUGCUGCAUGGUUGUCGUCAGCUCGUGCCGUGAGGUGCCGGCUUAAGUGCCAUAACGAGCGCAACCCUUGUUCGUAGUUGCCAUCGGGUAAUGCCGGGCACUCUGCGAAGACUGCCUCCGUAAGGAGUGAGGAAGGUGGGGAUGACGUCAAAUCAGCACGGCCCUUACGUCCGGGGCUACACACGUGUUACAAUGGCAUGUACAGAAAGCAGGGUGUAUGCAAAUACGCUCGAAUCCCUAAAACAUGUCUCAGUUCGGACUGGGGUCUGCAACCCGACCCCACGAAGCUGGAUUCGCUAGUAAUCGCGCAUCAGCCAUGGCGCGGUGAAUACGUUCCCGGGCCUUGCACACACCGCCCGUCA
rnacentral:rRNA from 1 species